rnacentral:rRNA from 1 species
UACGGGGGGGGCAAGCGUUGUUCGGAAUUACUGGGCGUAAAGCGCGCGUAGGCGGCUCUUCAAGUCGAGUGUGAAAGCUCCAGGCUUAACCUGGGAAUUGCGCUCGAUACUGUUGAGCUAGAGUGUGGAAGGGGCUACUGGAAUUCCGUGUGUAGCGGUGAAAUGCGUAGAUAUACGGAGGAACACCAGCGGCGAAGGCGGGUAGCUGGGCCGAAACACUGACG